rnacentral:sRNA from 1 species
CUGUAGCUUUAAGAUCAAAUAUUUCUUCAAGGAAGCCCUCUCUGACUCCCAGAGUACAUCAAGUCCUCUCUGUUCUACACUCUCAUAAUACCCUAUACUUUGCUUCCAGAGAAGCCAUUCCAUUUUAUGAGUGUAUUUUUGCACUAUUCUUUGUUCAGUCAAUUUGCUCCAAUUACAGUACAAGCUCCAAAGGGUAAGGAUCAAGUCUGUUUUGCUCACCACUGUAUGCUAUUCCUUGUGUUUAGCCCAGUUACUGGCAUGUAUUAAGAACUCGUUAAAUAUUGAGUUUGGUUAUAGUUUUAUAUUUUAGGUUUGUGACAUUUGUGUAGUCUAUAGAGAACAUGUCUAAGAUAUUUAUACAGUCCAUAGAGAAUGAUUUGAUAAGAAGAUGUAAAUCACACAAACUGCAAAUACACACUUGUUCUAUGCCUCUAUGUCUUAGGAAGUCUAAGAGAUUCCAAGGUCAGAAUGUUUUUCCUGUUCUCUCUGAAUUGAAAUAUACCCUCACAUAGAUUUUCACUUUCUUUAGAUGUUUUUCCUUUUCGCACUUUUUGAGUGAUAAUUUUUUGUUUAAGUUGAGAGCCAUACAGUCAGGGGAUAUAUCACAUUUAACAUAAAUGGCAGUAAAACUGCCCAAGCAAUGAGUGUAUUAUAUAGGCAUAGUUAAUAAACAAGCUGUGUGAUAUUAAGCUAUGUUUCUCUCUAGCUUUCUGGAGAUAGUACUGAAUUCCCAAAACACAGUGUGAUUUAUUUUUUGUGACAGUGUGCAUCAGCAAGAGGGCAUAUAUUAGAUGCUUGGAAAAUGCUUUGCUAUAGAUUUAUGUCUUUUCACUAUUUGUCUUCAUAUAUAAUUAUUGGGGGCAACUUUAGUUUUUUCUGUUUCUCUUUUCAGAAAGAAUAAUUUUUUUUCACCUUCUUAUCUAUAUGUUUCAUUGUGGACUAUCAGUACUGUUCUUCAUUUAAAAUGCAAAUGUUCUAAUAAUCUACAAUCAUAACCUUAUGGUAGAACUGAUAUAGACAUUGUAAUCUCUAAGCCUCUGAAAGUAGUGUUCUGCAUUUUUAUUCUAGAAGAGAGCUACUGCUUCUCAUCAAUAAGAGAGUGGGAUUAAAAGGAACAUGAGUAAGGAUUAUAUUUGCAGAGCCUGUCUAUUUAUUCAACAGUAUUGUUGAAUAAUAACAUUUCUUAAGUAUCAUCUUCCCUCAAUAUAUGUGGGGGAUUGGUUCCAGAAUCGCCCUCCCCCCACCACUGCAUAUUCCAAAAUUCAUGCAUACUCAAGUCCCACAGUUGCUUCUAGGACAUCAGCCAUUCUGGUACUUGGGUUUUAUGGUGGGCAAAUACUAUAUUUUUUAUCUGUGGUCGGUUCAAAAAAAAAUUCACAUGUAAGUGGACCCCCCACAGUUCAAACUCAUGCUCAAGGUUUAGCUGUAUCUAUUUUGUAGCAGAAGCUAGGGAAACUUAGAAAGAGAAUGACCUUUUCUAUGAAAUUUAAUUUUGUUUCAAACAAUAACAUUCUGAUAAGAGCUGAGUUUUACUCUUUUGUUAGCACUGUCAGUUUUCUCAACUAUAGAAUGGGAAUGAUAAAAUAACCAUCUUGGCUGGGCACAGUGGCUCUCUCCUCUAAUCCCAGCACUAUGGGAGGCUGAAGUGGGUGGAUCACCUGAGGUUGAGAGAGUUCGAGGCCAGCCUGACCAACAUGAAGAAACCCCAUCACUACUAAAAAUACAAAAUUAGCCGUGUGUGGUGGUGCACGCCUGUAAUCCCAGCUACUCGGGAGGCUGAGGCAGGAGAAUCACUUGAACCCAGGAGGUGGAGGUUGCGGUGAGCUGACAUCACACCAUUGCAUUCCAGCCUGGGCAACAAGAGCGAAACUCUGUCUCAAAAACAAACAAAACAAAAACAAAAUAACUAUCUCAUAAAGUUCUUGUGAGGAGUAAAUAAGAUAGUACAUUUAAAGUACUUAUCUCAGCACCUGGCAUAUAACAAACACUUUGUGUAUUUUAGAUUUACUGUGAGACUUCGUCCAAAGUUACCUCUUAGGUAUUUAUUUUGCUCUGUUCCUUCCUUCUUAUUUUUCUCCAAAUUGUCAUCAAAGAUAAAUUUCUAAAACAAAAAUCUGAUUGUAUAACUACCUCUCUGAUACCAUCUUUUCAGCUUUGAAAACCUUUAGUGGUUUCCUGUUGUCUGAAGGGGAAUGCCUCAAAUACAUGGAUGGUAUUCAGCAUCUUCCCACGUGGUCCUAGCCUUCCUUCCCAAACUGUCUUCUGCCUUGACCACCCACUGGGUUGCAGCCCAAAUAGGCCACACAGUUUUAUUUUGCUAUCUUGGCUUGUUGUCUUCCUUCUGUCUAGAAUUCCUGCUGUGGGCCUCACCUCCUCAUCACCCCACAACCUGAAGAAACAAUUGUCUAUGGGAAACUCAAAGAUUCCUCUUCUUUCUAGACAGAAUUUUUGGUUCCUGUUUGUUCAUCUCUUUUUAGCAUUUAUUAUGAUAUCUAAGGUAAUUCUAUAUGUCUUGCUCUCUUACUAGCUCAUGAGUUCCUUCAGAGCAGAGGCCAUAGUUUAUUCAUCAUUGUGGUAACAUUGAUGAGUGCCACUAGAACUCAGUAGGCACUCUGUAAAAAUCUGUUGAAGUAAUGUAUUAAUAUUUGGUUUAAUUUUAUUUUGAUUUCAGUGUGUUUUUAUUCUAGGUCCUUGGCCUUAUCCAAAACAUGAGUGUUUUCCAGUGUCCAAAAUGUAAACACAAAACUCAUAUUUUUGGUGCUGAUGGUGCGAGGAAACUAGCACAGACCCUUGGUCUUGAAGUUCUAGGAGACAUUCCCUUACACCUUAAUAUAAGGGAAGCUUCAGAUACAGGCCAGCCAAUUGUGUUUUCACAGCCUGAAAGUGAUGAGGCCAAAGCUUACUUGAGGAUUGCUGUGGAAGUGGUAAGAAGAUUGCCAUCACCUUCAGAAUGAUUCCCCAAGUGUCCUGGAAAUUUUCCUGGUACUGACAUUAAGAGGACCUUUGGAAAUCAGCAAUGUGGUGAUGGAACCUACAGAAAUAAUAGAAAUCAUAACUGUUUUAUUUCUAAGGAAAGAAUGUCUUCAGAUCUGAUUUGCUAAGCUAAGAUUCACAAAACUUUCAUGUAUCAAUGUUAACUGCUAUAUUUAGGAAUUUUUUGAAAGCUGGUGUGUACCACCUGCAAAGAACUGCAUUUUAUUUUAUUGAAUUCCCCAUUUAGAAAUGAUGAGUUUAUGAUGUUACAAGUCCAUUUUGGGAGAGAACUGUAUACUUCUUGCAGGACCACAAAGUUAGUAAUUUAAAUGAUAUACUAAAUCUGUGUAUGGGCAUAAGUAUUAUGCCUCCCCACCAGGCAAUUUGGACUGUCUUUGCAUCCUGUCUUUAGUACUAUCUUGGAUAUGUUCUUAAUAUGAACCUCUGCUUCUUCAUCUGGAUCACACCAUACCCCAGACUUAAUGAAUCUCAGUCUCCAGGAGUGGAGCCUGAACAUAUGUAUUUUUAAUAAGACCAUGAUGAUCCUGAUGAUGAUUCUGCUAAUCAUGGCAGUAAGAAUAAUAGCUAAUAUUUAACAAGUUAAUUAUAAUUGUUCUUCCAUUUGUGUGAGUGGGUACUAUUAUCUCCAUUUUACAGAUAAGUAAUUUGAGAUAUAAUUUGAAGGCACUCAACCUUGAGUGUCUUGCUGAGGGUUACUGUAUCUAGCAAGUGACGGAGCUUGGAUUUGAACUUGAGUAAUUCGAUAUUAGAUUCAUCUUUUUGUACACCAAUGUGCUUUUGUUAAUUAAAAAAAGGUGGGGCGGCUAGGCACGGUGGCUCACGCCUGUAAUCCCAGCACUUUGGGAGGUUGAGGUGGGUGGAUCAUGAGGUCAGGAGUUCAAGGCCAGCCUGACCAACAUGGUGAAACCCCGUCUCUACUAAAAAUACAAAAAUUAGCUGGGCAUGGUGGCAUACGCCUGUAAUCCCAGCUACUCAGGAGGCUGAGGCAGGAGAAUCGUUUCAACCCGGGAGGCUGAGGUUGCAGUGAGUGGAGAUUGUACCACUGCACUCCAGCCUGGUUGACGGAGUGUGACUCCAUCUCAAAAAAAAAAAAAAAAAAAAAAAAAAAAGUUGGGGGAGAUACAAUAUUUAGCAUUUCCUCAAAGUUUUUUUGGCCAUGAAAUCCACCCCUCCUCCUUUCUCAGAGCAUUUCAUGAAGUUCACAUUUCAAAUAAUACAUUUUGAAAAACAUUUAUCUUGUCUAAUUGAAGCUCAAAGAGAUAGAGUCAAUGACUUUUCAAAGUCAGGUAGCAGAUAGUUUUAAAGCUGCAAGUACUGAUAAGUGUGAGCCAUUAGUUAAUUCGCAUUUAUAAAGAAGUGGUCUGUCAUUUUUGGCAAAUGCCUUGACAUCUGUUGCUCUACAGUUGUCAACCAGAAAAUUAGGCAUAGAGUUUCACAUUAUUGUAAGCAUGUUUUCACACAAAAACACGUACAUUGAUGUUUAUUGCAACUUUAUGUGUAAUAACCAAAAACAACCCAGAUUUUCUUCAUUGGGUAAAUGAUUAAACAAACCAUGGUACAUUCAUACCAUGAGUACUACUCAGCAAUAAAAAAGAACAAACUAUGGGUACAGGCAGCAACUUAUAAUUCCAGAGAAUUAUGCUGAGUGAAAAAAGCCAAUUUAAAAAGGUUUCGUACCAAAAGAUUCCAUUUAUAUAACGUUCUUGAAGUGACAUAAUUAUAGAAAUGGAGAACAGAUUAGUGGUGGCUGUGUUAAGGAGGGGGUGAGGAUGGGAGAGAAUUGGGUGUGGCUGUGAGAAACAUGAGGGAUCCUUGUGAUGAUGGAAAUAUUCUAUAUCACAACUAUCAAUGUCAAUAUUCCAGUUGUGAUAUUGUGCUAUAGUUUUGCAAGAUGUUACCACUGGGGGAAAUUGGGUGAAGGGCACAUGGAAUCUCUGUAUUAUUUCUUUCAACUGCAUGUAAAUCUACAAUUAUCUCAAAAUAAAAAUAAAAGUUAAAAAAA